CCUACGGGGUGCAGCAGUCGAGAAUCAUUCACAAUGGGGGAAACCCUGAUGGUGCGACGCCGCGUGGGGGCAUGAAGGUCUUCGGAUUGUAAACCCCUGUCAUGUGGGAGCAAAUUAAAAAGAUAGUACCACAAGAGGAAGAGACGGCUAACUCUGUGCCAGCAGCCGCGGUAAUACAGAGGUCUCAAGAGUUGUUCGGAAUCACUGGGCGUAAAGCGUGCGUAGGCUGUUUCGUAAGUCGUGUGUGAAAGUCGAGGGCUCAACCCGCGGACGGCACAUGAUACUGCGAGACUAGAGUAAUGGAGGGGGAAGCGGAAUUCUCGGUGUAGCAGUGAAAUGCGUAGAUAUCGAGAGGAACACUCGUGGCGAAGGCGGGUUCCUGGACAUUAACUGACGCUGAGGCACGAAGGCCAGGGGAGCGAAAGGGAUUAGAUACCCCUGUAGUC
rnacentral:rRNA from 1 species